GAUGAACGCUGGCGGCGCGCCUAAUACAUGCAAGUCGAGCGAAUGGAUUAAGAGCUUGCUCUUAUGAAGUUCGCGGCGGACGGGUGAGUAACACGUGGGUAACCUGCCCAUAAGACUGGGAUAACUCCGGGAAACCGGGGCUAAUACCGGAUAACAUUUUGAACCGCAUGGUUCGAAAUUGAAAGGCGGCUUCGGCUGUCACUUAUGGAUGGACCCGGGUCGCAUUAGCUAGUUGGUGAGGCAACGGCUCACCAAGGCAACGAUGCGUAGCCGACCUGAGAGGGUGAUCGGCCACACUGGGACUGAGACACGGCCCAGACUCCUACGGGAGGCAGCAGUAGGGAAUCUUCCGCAAUGGACGAAAGUCUGACGGAGCAACGCCGCGUGAGUGAUGAAGGCUUUCGGGUCGUAAAACUCUGUUGUUAGGGAAGAACAAGUGCUAGUUGAAUAAGCUGGCACCUUGACGGUACCUAACCAGAAAGCCACGGCUAACUACGUGCCAGCAGCCGCCGUAA
rnacentral:rRNA from 1 species